rnacentral:lncRNA from 1 species
CGCCCGUCUGGCCCGACACCCGCGCCGGGAGCGCCCGCGCCCCCCGGCCCGCUCCCCGCCGAGCCCCCGGCGGCCCGGCCACCGGUCACUUACGCCUGCGCCGGGCCCCGCCGCCCCGAGGCCCCGAGACAAAGGCUGCGCGGCCGCUGCGCCGCCGGCUGCUCCUCCAGCCGCCGCUGCCGGGGACCCGGAGGAGGGGGGUGGGGGGGCGGAGGAGGCGAGGAGGAGGGGACGGCGGGGAGGGGCCGCCGCGGCGCCGGCCACCCGGCUGCAGCGGCCCAGACCCCAGUCCUGCGAACCCGGCCCGCAGCUCUCCAGGGCGCCGUCCUCCCCGGGUCGUGGGCCCGAAAACCUCCCCCAGGGGACCAGGGGACCACCCCUUGAGGGGGGGGGUGGGGGAAGAAGAAGAAGGAGGGGUGUGUGUGUGUGUGUGCGUGCGCGUGUGUUCCUUCUUUCCACUCCUGAUCUCCUCCAUCCACCCCCGCGGCCCCGAGCCAUCUCAGGAAAAUGCCAGACUCUGCCUCCCCUGUAAAACUCUGGGGGCGCGCCCACGGACCUCCUUUCCGUCCACGCACCUGCCCGCCGGACGUCCAACCGUUUUGUGGAGCGCAAAACUGAGACCUGGAAGCUCUUCCCCCAUCCCAGAGACUAAGGACUUGAAAAGAACGCGAUCACGAUACCCUUACCCCACCUUACCGAAUUGAGAAUAAUUCCCUCUUCUCCACUUUCUGGAAGUCUCGCUUGUCCAGGACGACCGGUCUACCGCCUCCCCGUCCUGACGGGCGGCCACGAUGAAGCUGGACCCACCGGUCCCGGCACAGAAUGUGGCACGUGUCGGACAAGGAUUUUUGAACUGAGUUUAGAACAGGGAUUCUAACUCUGUUUUUCUGCUCAGGUUUUAAGUGGGCUAAGCACUUAGUUCUCAGAUGAUUUCUAGGUUGCUGGUAACGCACCGUAAGUGUCAGGGAGAAGAGACUUGGCUGGCAGCCCUUUCUCAGAUGUUCCAAGCAAACAUGCAAACGGUUCUCAAACCUUAGCCUGGUCUCAAUGCCCGUCUUCCCUGAAAGCUGUUUUCGCUUUAUAACCACAGGACGUUUCAAAUCAAAUUCCAGAAAAUGCCUCGCAAUUAAAAUUUUACACUGCCUGUCGCUACGUGCCAGCUUUGCUACUGCUUUUCGUCACUGCCCAUUAUAAAUAAUGACCCUGGCAUGCGUUUUGUUACUAGAGCCAUUAACCCAACUAACCAUUCCGCUCACAUGAAACAAGCCGUGCAUCUGCUAAGGUGACUUGGUGGGUAGAUUUCUUUUUCCUUUUGUUUUUUGUUCUUUGUUUUGUUUUUUUUUUUUUCCUUCUGCAGAACCCGAGGACACACAAUAAAAUGAGCAAAUGGAAAUUUCA